GACGAACGCUGGCGGCGUGCCUAAUACAUGCAAGUCGAGCGGACAGAAGGGAGCUUGCUCCCGGAAGUUAGCGGCGGACGGGUGAGUAACACGUGGGCAACCUACCCUGUAGAUCGGGAUAACAUCGAGAAAUCGGUGCUAAUACCGGAUAAUCAUUUGAAGUGCAUGCUUCGAAUGUAAAAGAUGGCCCCGGCUAUCACUACGGGAUGGGCCCGCGGCGCAUUAGCUAGUUGGUAAGGGAAUGGCUUACCAAGGCAACGAUGCGUAGCCGACGUGAGGGGGUGGCCGGCCACACUGGGACUGAGACACGGCCCAGGCUCCUACGGGAGGCAGCAGUAGGGAAUCUGCCGCCAUGGACGAAAGUCUGACGGAGCAACGCCGCGUGAGUGAUGAAGGUUUUCGGAUCGUAAAGCUCUGUUGUUAGGGAAGAACAAGUGCCGUUUGAAUAAGGCGGCACCUUGACGGUACCUAACCAGAAAGCCACGGCUAACUACGUGCCAGCAGCCGCAGUAACAC
rnacentral:rRNA from 1 species